rnacentral:ncRNA from 1 species
ACCGCGCUCGGCGAGUGGCUUCCGACGACGCGCGACGGCCGACGGCGCGCGAAUCGAGCCUGAGAACACGUAAAUCGUUUGAACUUGUAUCGGGGUAAUACCUGCGUAAGGACUGAGCCGGCGAACGACG